GACGAACGCUGGCGGCGUGCUUAACACAUGCAAGUCGAACGGAAAGGCCUGCUUUCCCUUGUGGAUUGCGGGUACUCGAGUGGCGAACGGGUGAGUAACACGUGAGUGAUCUGCCCCCAACUUGGGUAUAAGCCUGGGAAACUGGGUCUAAUUCCCGAUAGGACUGCAGGGUGGUGCCUGUGGUGGAAAACGAUUUUCUAGUGGUUGGGGAUGAGCUCGCGGCCUAUCAGCUUGUUGGUGGGGUAAUGGCCUACCAAGGCGGCGACGGGUAGCCGGCCUGGGAGGGUGGACGGCCACAUUGGGACUGAGAUACGGCCCAGACUCCUACGGGAGGCAGCAGUGGGGAAUAUUGCACAAUGGGCGGAAGCCUGAUGCCGCGACGCCGGGUGGGGGAUGACGGCGUUCGGGUUGUAAUCUCCUUUCGACCGCGAGGAAGCCACCUGGUUGGAAGGGUGGUGACGGUAGUGGUAGAAGAAGCCCCGGCUAACUACGUG
rnacentral:rRNA from 1 species